rnacentral:rRNA from 1 species
ACGAACGCUGGCGGCGUGCCUAAUACAUGCAGGUUGAGCGCUGAAGGUUGGUACUUGUACCGACUGGAUGAGCAGCGAACGGGUGAGUAACGCGUGGGGAAUCUGCCUUUGAGCGGGGGACAACAUUUGGAAACGAAUGCUAAUACCGCAUAAAAACUUUAAACACAAGUUUUAAGUUUGAAAGAUGCAAUUGCAUCACUCAAAGAUGAUCCCGCGUUGUAUUAGCUAGUUGGUGAGGUAAAGGCUCACCAAGGCGAUGAUACAUAGCCGACCUGAGAGGGUGAUCGGCCACAUUGGGACUGAGACACGGCCCAAACUCCUACGGGAGGCAGCAGUAGGGAAUCUUCGGCAAUGGACGAAAGUCUGACCGAGCAACGCCGCGUGAGUGAAGAAGGUUUUCGGAUCGUAAAACUCUGUUGGUAGAGAAGAACGUUGGUGAGAGUGGAAAGCUCAUCAAGUGACGGUAACUACCCAGAAAGGGACGGCUAACUACGUG